rnacentral:rRNA from 1 species
GAUGAACGCUGGCGGCGUGCCUAAUACAUGCAAGUCGAGCGAACAGACGAGGAGCUUGCUCCUUUGACGUUAGCGGCGGACGGGUGAGUAACACGUGGGUAACCUACCUAUAAGACUGGUAUAACUUCGGGAAACCGGAGCUAAUACCGGAUAAUAUUUCGAACCGCAUGGUUCGAUAGUGAAAGAUGGCUUUGCUAUCACUUAUAGAUGGACCUGCGCCGUAUUAGCUAGUUGGUAAGGUAGCGGCUUACCAAGGCAACGAUACGUAGCCGACCUGAGAGGGGGAUCGGCCACACUGGAACUGAGACACGGUCCAGACUCCUACGGGAGGCAGCAGUAGGGAAUCUGCCGCAAUGGGCGAAAGCCUGACGGAGCAACGCCGCGUGAGUGAUGAAGGUCUUCGGAUCGUAAAACUCUGUUAUUAGGGAAGAACAAACGUGUAAGUAACUGUGCACGUCUUGACGGUACCUAAUCAGAAAGCCACGGCUAACUACGUG